rnacentral:tRNA from 3 species
GCUGAGGUGGCGAAAUCGGCAGACGCAGGGGACUUAAAAUCCCCCGGGUUUAUCCCGUGCGGGUUCAAGUCCCGCCCUCAGCA